CCGUGCUAGGCGGGGAUGUAGCGGCACCCUGAACCCGCAAUCCGCUCUAGCGGGGCUGAAUCCCCUCCCGAGGGGUGAGGCCACGGGGCCAGCGGUGCCGUGAGUGGCGUCGAUGGACCGGGUCCCCGCGCGAUGUCGGCCCGUGAACCAGGUCAGGUCCGGAAGGAAGCAGCCUUAAGCGAUCGCCGGCAGGCGCUGCGGGAAUCCCCGGGCCGGAGCCGCGAACGGUGUCAGCGCCCGUGACCCCGCUUCGACGGAGGGUGCACGG
rnacentral:SRP_RNA from 1 species